rnacentral:rRNA from 1 species
AUUGAACGCUGGCGGCAGGCCUAACACAUGCAAGUCGAGCGAGCGGCGGACGGGUGAGUAAUGUAUGGGGAUCUGCCUGAUGGAGGGGGAUAACUACUGGAAACGGUAGCUAAUACCGCAUACCAUCAGAUGCACACAUAUGGGAUUAGCUUGUUGGUGGGGUAACGGCUCACCUAGGCGACGAUCCCUAGCUGGUCUGAGAGGAUGAACAGCCACACUGGAACUGAGACACGGUCCAGACUCCUACGGGAGGCAGCAGUGGGGAAUAUUGCACAAUGGGCGCAAGCCUGAUGCAGCCAUGCCGCGUGUAUGAAGAAGGCCUUCGGGUUGUAAAGUACUUUCAGUGGGGAGGCGUUACCCGCAGAAGAAGCACCGGCUAACUCCGUGCCAGCAGCCGCGGUAAUUC